rnacentral:rRNA from 1 species
GACGAACGCUGACGGUGUGCUUUAGACAUGCAAGUCGAACGAGAAAGCCCUUCGGGGUGAGUAGAGUGGCGAACGGGUGAGUAACACGUGGGUAACCUGCCCCUCGCAGAGGGAUAACCGGGGGAAACCCCGGCUAAUACCUCGUACGCUUGCCGGGUCGCAUGGCUUGGCAAGGAAAGGUAGCUUCGGCCAUCCGGCGAGGGAUGGGCCCGCGGUCCAUUAGCUAGUUGGUGAGGUAACGGCCCACCAAGGCGACGAUGGAUAGCUGGUCUGAGAGGAUGAUCAGCCACACUGGGACUGAGACACGGCCCAGACUCCUACGGGAGGCAGCAGUCGGGAAUCUUGCGCAAUGGGCGAAAGCCUGACGCAGCAACACCGUGUGGGCGACGAAGGCCUUCGGGUCGUAAAGCCCUGUUGUUGGGAAGAAACCUGUGGAUGCUAAUAUCAUCCACACUUGACGGUACCACCGGAGGAAGCACCGGCUAACUCCGUGCCAGCCGCCGCGGUAAUAC